rnacentral:misc_RNA from 1 species
UCCAGGUUAACCCUGGCAGUCUCCUUAGAGUGCCCAACUUAAUGCUGGCAACUAAGAACGGGGGUUGCGCUCGUUGCGAGACUUAACCCAACAUUUCACAACACGAGCUGACGACAGCCAUGCAGCGCCUGUCUCCGCAUUCCCCGAAGGGCACUCCCUCAUCUCUGAAGGAUUCGCGGGAUUUCAAACCCAGGUAAGGUUUUGCGCGUUGCUUCGAAUUAAACCACAUAAUCCACCGCUUGUGCGGGCCCCCGUCAAUUCCUUUGAGUUUUAGUCUUGCGACCGUACUCCCCAGGCGGAGCACUUAAAGCGUUUGCUACGUCACGGCCGGGGUUAAUACCGGCCACAACUAGUGCUCAACGUUUACGGCGUGGACUAC